rnacentral:tRNA from 1 species
GCCGAUGUGGCUCAGUGGUAGAGCAGCGCACUCGUAAUGCGCAGGUCGCCGGUUCGAAUCCGGCCAUCGGCU